GAUGAACGCUGGCGGCGUGCCUAAUACAUGCAAGUCGAGCGAACAGACGAGGAGCUUGCUCCUCUGACGUUAGCGGCGGACGGGUGAGUAACACGUGGAUAACCUACCUAUAGGACUGGGAUAACUUCGGGAAACCGGAGCUAAUACCGGAUAAUAUAUUGAACCGCAUGGUUCAAUAGUGAAAGACGGUUUUGCUGUCACUUAUAGAUGGAUCCGCGCCGCAUUAGCUAGUUGGUAAGGUAACGGCUUACCAAGGCAACGAUGCGUAGCCGACCUGAGAGGGUGAUCGGCCACACUGGAACUGAGACACGGCCCAGACUCCUACGGGAGGCAGCAGUAGGGAAUCUUCCGCAAUGGGCGAAAGCCUGACGGAGCAACGCCGCGUGAGUGAUGAAGGUCUUCGGAUCGUAAAACUCUGUUAUUAGGGAAGAACAAAUGUGUAAGUAACUAUGCACGUCUUGACGGUACCUAAUCAGAAAGCCACGGCUAACUACGUG
rnacentral:rRNA from 1 species